rnacentral:rRNA from 1 species
UGAACGCUGGCGGCAUGCCUUACACAUGCAAGUCGAACGGCAGCGCGGACUUCGGUCUGGCGGCGAGUGGCGAACGGGUGAGUAAUACAUCGGAACGUACCCUGUUGUGGGGGAUAACUAGUCGAAAGAUUAGCUAAUACCGCAUACGACCUGAGGGUGAAAGUGGGGGACCGCAAGGCCUCACGCAGCAGGAGCGGCCGAUGUCUGAUUAGCUAGUUGGUGGGGUAAAGGCCCACCAAGGCGACGAUCAGUAGCUGGUCUGAGAGGACGAUCAGCCACACUGGGACUGAGACACGGCCCAGACUCCUACGGGAGGCAGCAGUGGGGAAUUUUGGACAAUGGGGGCAACCCUGAUCCAGCAAUGCCGCGUGUGUGAAGAAGGCCUUCCGGUUGUAAAGCACUUUUGUCCGGAAAGAAAUCGCGCUGGUUAAUACCUGGCGUGGAUGACGGUACCGGAAGAAUAAGCACCGGCUAACUACGUGCCAGCAG